UGGAAGCUUCCUUCCCUGUCUGGGUUC
rnacentral:piRNA from 1 species